rnacentral:lncRNA from 1 species
GACCUUAUAAAAAUUUUCGACCGAACUCCAAGGGGUAAUUUUCAAGAAUCUCCACCUAUUCUACCUUACGCAUUGGCUAAAAGAAAGAACACCUUUUCUCCGAGGCUCAAAUCAAGGUUCUAAGGAUAAUUUUGAUAAAAAGGUCGGCAUUGGGGCUUUGUGGCUUUCAAUUGUUAGGCUCUUUGGUUCGAGGUAGGAAAUAUGGGUAUGUGUGGCUAUUCUUCUUGAAUUUAGGUGAUUACGCCAAAAUUUGAAAGAUAGGCGUUUGAAACAAUGAAUUCACCUCUACGGAUUUUAAUAAACUCGAUUCUCAAAAGUUCAAAAGUCUCCACUUUUGCUAUUGAGGCAAUGGAUCGAGUUUUCAAAAAUAAUUCAACACCUAGCCCUUAUUUCUCCCUUCUAGUCUCUUUUUCUUCCUCUUCUUCUUCUUUUUCCCUUUUUUUUUUUUGUGUAUAUAUAUAGAAGCAAAGAUAUUUGUCUUCUUUUUUUUUUUUUCGAAGAAGAAGACCUUAUAAAAAUUUUCGACCGAACUCCAAGGGGUAAUUUUCAAGAAUCUCCACCUAUUCUACCUUACGCAUUGGCUAAAAGAAAGAACACCUUUUCUCCGAGGCUCAAAUCAAGGUUCUAAGGAUAAUUUUGAUAAAAAGGUCGGCUUGAAAGGCUCAAACGGUUCAAAAAAGGCCCAAAUCAUAUCCCAAAUCACUCACUACUCAAUACUUCGUAUCAUAAAUUUCCUAAGGUGAGUCUUAAAACCGAACAUAGCAUGAUCUAGCAUAAAUUAAUUCCAAAUUUAAAAUACAAAACAUUCAACCAAAGCAAUGCACAAAAU